GCUACAUCCAAGACGCCAAGACCAGACCAACUGCCUGGAAAAAGCAGAAUCAGCCAAGCUGCCUAGAAGAGGUGUAGACCAACUGAGUCACCAGGAAAAGACAUUCACCAACCUGUUGAGCUGUGGGCAGAUGUAAUACCUGUCCCUGGACUUCUGUCUUUAGAACAUAAGCUGAAUCUCAGCAAGGUCCAAAGAAUGGAUCUGUCAAGGAUUGGAAGGACUGGGCUAAGGCCUUCAUCCAGCACCUGGUGGAAGUAGAAGCAGAUACCCACAACUAAUCACUCAACUGAACUGGAAUCCAGUUGCAGAGAAGGAGAAGUGAUGAGCAAAG
rnacentral:lncRNA from 1 species